AAAAGUCUUUACCUUUAUGAGAGCUUAACAGGCAUAGAGCAUUGUUUAUUAAAGUGGGGAGAAAAAUAAUGUCAGAUUGGACUUGAAAUGUGUUGAGGAAAAAAGACUGAGUUCUCCAUUUAUGAAAACUGAAGUCCUAAGUCUGGUAUUACUCAUUUCAUCUGAAUAACUAAGCAGUAAUGACCAUGGCACAGGCUAUUGCAGGCAAUUAAUGAUCAGUUCUCAGGGUUGAUGGCCUGUGAGGAAGUUAAGGGACAUUAAACUCUGCUAGCUAUUAGUCAUUCAGAUAUUGCCAACUGCUGACUGUAUUGCAGAUUCCUUCCAUUUUUCAAAUAUAGACCUUAAAAUUUCUAUUAAAAAAACCAAACUGUAAUGAUUGUGAGACAGACAUUUCUGCAAAAAUGGCAAAAUAUGAGGCCAGUGUUGUGAUUGCCCAAAGAUCUCUUGAGGAUGUCUUGGCUUCUUGAGUCUGGAUGGCCAAUUAAAGAGAGUGACAAGGCACCUCCACAUUCUUCCAGUUCUCCUGGAUUCACGGUCACCCCCUAUCUGGGAACUGAAUAUUCACAUCCACCAGCAUGAUGUGUCCUAAGAGGAAACAAGGAGGGGGAUAUUGUGUGUUUUCCUUUACUGGUGCACAAGUUUCAGCCCUCUGGGAAGGGACUAAAGGAAUUGGCUGUGAAGCUUCAAAAGAAAACAGCUGGAAGGAGGAGGACAUGGAAGGUCUGACCUUCCCAACGCUAUGAAGCUGGCUGCCCU
rnacentral:lncRNA from 1 species